AUAAAUAAAUAAAUCUUUAAAAACAAUGUAUUCAUGUUAGAAAGAUAUCAAUGAUGAUAGAGUAUAGGGGCCGGCGCUGUGACUUGGCAGGUAAAGCUGCCACCUGCGGUGUGGGCAUCCCGUAUGGGUGCUGGUUCCAGUCCUGGCUGCUUCACUUCCAAUUCAGCUCUUUCCUACGGUCUGGGAGAGCAGCAGCAGAUGGCCCAAGUCCUUGGGUCCCUGCAGCCCUGUAGGAGACUUGGAAGAAGCUCCAGGUCCUGGCUUUGGCCUUGCCCAGCUCUGGCCACUGCGGCUGUUUGGGAAGUGAACCAGCAGAUGGAAGUCCUCUCUGUAACUUUACCUUUUAAAUAAAUAUUUAAAAAAUAUUAAUAGAGUGUAAUGGUCUUAAACUGCACAUGCAAAAUUCCCAAAUUGCUUUUUUAAAGGAAACAAAAAGGUAAAGUAUAUUAAAAAGAUACAUACACCCACUGAAGGAAAUGCUCCCAAAUGGUAGUAGAAACUGCUGCUAACGAGAUCACGAGUUUUACUUUAACAUUUUUCCGAAUUGAGUACAUACUUUACAUUUUCUCGUAACAGGAAAAAGUACACAUAUUAUUUAAUACUAAAAAUCCUUAAUCCAAGUAAAUAGGCAAGCGAAGCCUAUUUGGGUACUGAACCAACAGGCGGAACCUGUCUGUGUCUCUCAAGUAACUAAACAGAAACAUUCUGGUGGACCUGGUUCGGGUUUCAGGCCAACACCACAGGGACUCAAACGCGUGAGAAGUAAGGGGGAGACUUUAUCACUCCAUUUUCAGAUGAAAAACCAGAAACCGAGUGGACUGUAACACGCAGAGCAGAGAUGACCAAAAGCCAAGGUUCCCUACCCCACGCCGGUCAGCAUCGGGUGUGCGUGCGGUCACUCAAGCAGACACGCCCUCUCGCAGCUGGGCCGGGCAGGGGCCGCGGCGGGGUCGCAGCAGCGGGCCGCCGCACCUGCUCUCCCCACGCAGAGUCACGGCCGGACCCACGAGGGGGCUCCGUCACGCUCCAAAACCAGCCAAGGACGACGCAGCGAGCCGACCCCGAACCCACUUCCGCGUCUCGGACUCUGACGAGUCGCCGCCCCAACACGGCCCAACGCCUCCCAAGACACGAGAACCAGUCGGUCCCGCGCCCUCGCCCCUGCCCGCCACGCGCGCGGCACCACGGCGUCCGGCCCGGGCUCCCCACGCCCGCGGCACCACGGCGUCCGGCCCGGGCUCCCCAAACGCGCGGCACCACGGCGUCCGGCCCGGGCUCCCCCACGCGCGGCACCACCGCGUCCGGCCCCGGCUCCCCAAACGUGCGGCACCACCGCGUCCGGCCCGGGCUCCCCAACUCACCGGGGAGCUGCUAA
rnacentral:lncRNA from 1 species